CACCAGGUUGAUUCUGCCUGUUAUAUGUGCUAGUGUCGAAGAUUUAGCCAUGCAUGCUUUACGAAUUCACAAGAAGAAGUGGCGGACAGCUCAGUAAUACAGUUAUAAUAUACUCUCUACUAAAGGAUAACCGCGGUAAGCUGCGGGUAAAACUUCAAGCUAUGUGUUUCAUGAAAGAAUUUAUAGUUCAGAGUGUUAGUUUCUGGCCUAUUAGUUAGUAGGUAAUGUAAGGGAUUACCUAGACUAUUAUGGGUAACGGGAGAUGAAUGUCUGAUACCGGAGAGGAAGCCUUAGAAACCGCUUUCACGUCCAAGGAUGGCAGCAGGCGCGAAACUUACCCAAUCGUUUUUUAAGACGGAGGUAGUUAUGACACAUGUGAAUUAUUCACGAGGAAGAUCAAUAAAUCAGAUUUUUUUUACUGGAGGGCAAGUCUGGUGCCAGCAGCCGCGGUAAUUCCAGCUCCAGUAGUGCAUAUACAUGCUGUAGUUAGAAAGUUUGUAGCCGUAUAAGCUUGAAUCAGAGGAAAGGAGGACUCUUAAGGUAAACUUUAACUCUGGUCAAUGCUUAUAUUCGAAGCGGAUGGAGGCACUUGUAUUCAAUAGCGAGAGGUAAAAUUUGAUGACCUAUUGAGGACAAUCAGUAGCGAAAGCGAGUGUCUAGUACGCGUUUGAGGGUCAAGAACGUUAGCCGGAGGAUCGAAGAUGAUUAGAUACCGUUGUAGUUCCGGCCGUAAACCAUGCCUACUUGCCUUGUACUUAGUAUGAAGCAUAGAGAAAUUAAGAGUUUUUGGGCUCUAGGGAUAGUAAUCCGGCAACGGACAAACUUAAAGAAAUUGGCGGAAGGACACCACAAGGAGUGGAUUGUGCGGCUUAACUUGACUCAACACGGGAAAUCUUACCAGGGUCUGUAUAUGUGAGACUGUCCCAUUUAUGGUGGUACACGAUAAUAUACUGAGUGGUGCAUGGCCGUUUUCAACACGUGGGGUGACCUGUCAGGUUUAUUCCGGUAACGUGUGAGGUCACAGUAUUAAUAAGUAUUUUAAUAGACAGCUAAUGGUAAAUUAGAGGAAGUGUGACGAUAACAGGUCAGUGAUGCCCUUAGAUACCCUGGGCUGCACGCGCAAUACAUUGAGUAAGUCAUUUACAACAGUAAUUUUGAAACUUACUCGCUACUGGGAUCAUCCUUUGUAAUUGGGAUGUGAACGUGGAAUUCCUAGUAAUCGUAGCUCACUAAGUUACGAUGAAUGUGUCCCUGUUCUUUGCACACACCGCCCGUCGCUAUCUAAGAUGGAUGUUGAUAUGAAAUUGCUGCUUGAAUGUGAGGUACUUGAGUAUUAACAACUAGAUAAGAUAUAAGUCGUAACAAGGCUGCUAUAGAAGAAUCUGUGGCAGGAUCAUACAAAUAUAUUAAUACUAUUAUAGAGAUGAAGUGUUGGUAAGGGAUCUCUUGGGUUCUGUAACGAGGAAGGACGUAGACGAAUGCGAUAAGGGAGCCUCAUCUCAGCUUAGCUCCAUUUCCGAAUGAAAGAAUACUCCUAGAACUUAAGCAUAUCAUUAUAGGAAGGAAUAGAAAUUAACGAAGAUUCUCACAGUAGUGGCGAAUGAACAGAGAUAAGUCCACGAUGGUAAACUGUAUUCCAAUACGGUGUUGUAUAUAAGAACUUAAGUGAUAAGCUGAAAAGCUUGACCAUAGCGGGUUAUAGUCCCCUUCUUAUUGAGAUUGUUAGAUUAGCCUUGCUUGGUAAUGCAAGGUGAAUUGGGUGGUAGAUCGCAUCCAAGACUAAAUAUAACAGAACACCGAUAGCGAAGAAGUACUGCGAAGGAAAGAAGAAAGGUCUUUCAGACCAAUAAAGUAG
rnacentral:rRNA from 1 species